rnacentral:rRNA from 1 species
CAUGCAAGUCGAACGAAGCUUGACGGAUGAUUUCUUCGGAAUGAAACCAGAUAUGACUUAGUGGCGGACGGGUGAGUAACACGUGAGCAACCUGCCUUUCAGAGGGGGAUAACGGCUGGAAACGGUCGCUAAUACCGCAUGAUGUGUUCGGAUGGCAUCAUCUGAACAUCAAAGAUUUAUCGCUGAAAGAUGGGCUCGCGUCUGAUUAGAUAGUUGGUGGGGUAACGGCCUACCAAGUCUACGAUCAGUAGCCGGACUGAGAGGUUGAACGGCCACAUUGGGACUGAGAUACGGCCCAGACUCCUACGGGAGGCAGCAGUGGGGAAUAUUGCACAAUGGGGGAAACCCUGAUGCAGCAACGCCGCGUGAAGGAUGACGGUUUUCGGAUUGUAAACUUCUUUUCUUAGUGACGAAGACAGUGACGGUAGCUAAGGAAUAAGCAUCGGCUAACUACGUGCCAGCAGCCGCGGUAAUACGUAGAAUGCAAGCGUUAUCCGGAUUUACUGGGUGUAAAGGGAGCGCAGGCGGGACUGCAAGUUGGAUGUGAAAUACCGUGGCUUAACCACGGAACUGCAUCCAAAACUGUAGUUCUUGAGUGAAGUAGAGGCAAGCGGAAUUCCGAGUGUAGCGGUGAAAUGCGUAGAUAUUCGGAGGAACACCAGUGGCGAAGGCGGCUUGCUGGGCUUUAACUGACGCUGAGGCUCGAAAGUGUGGGGAGCAAACAGGAUUAGAUACCCUGGUAGUCCACACUGUAAACGAUGAUAGCUAGGUGUGGGGGGUCUGACCCCUUCCGUGCCGGAGUUAACGCAAUAAGCUAUCCACCUGGGG